rnacentral:misc_RNA from 1 species
UACGUAAAGGGGGUGAAAGAAACAAACAACAAAUACAAGUGUAGUAGUAUAAUUAAGCUAGCUUGAAUCUUAUUAUAACAGGCAACAAGCUGGAUCACAUAUGCAUAAACUUACAUAUGGAACAUUAAUUUCUUAUAAUAACAAAACCCUUUAAUAAUUUCUUGCAAAGGGUAUAACAAGAAGAAGAGAUUUCUUUCUACUGAAUACUAUAACCAAA